UGAUGAUUAUUAGUGUGACACCGACACACACACACACACACUUAAAACAAUGAUGUCUCUUAUUCUAAUGCUGUGGACACUCGGUCUGCUCGCUCAAGUGUCUCAUCAAGAGGUUCAGUCUCCUGAGUCUCUGAGUGUUAAAGCAGGAGAGUCAGUCUCUAUGAGCUGCACUGGGACCAGCGGAGUUGGUGAUGACAUGAGCUGGUAUCUGCAGAAACCUGGAGAAGCUCCUAAACUUCUGAUCUAUACAGCAAGUGAACUUGAAUCUGGAGUCCCAGAUCGGUUCAGUGGAAGUGGAAAUGAACCUGAUUUUACACUGAAUAUUCGUGGAGUCCAGCCUGAGGAUGCAGGAGUUUAUUACUGUAUGGGGGCUUACAGUGACAGGUGGACGUUCGGUGGAGGAACUCGACUCUCUGUUGGAACUGCCACUCGUCCCACUCUCACGGUCCUGCCGCCCUCCAGAGACGAGCUGCAGCAGGGUAAGGCUACAGUGGUGUGUGUGGGCAGUAAGGGAUUCCCCUCUGACUGGAAGCUGAGCUGGAAGGUGGAUGGCAGCAGCAGGAGCUCUGCUGUGAAUCUGAGUCCCAGUGUGCUGCAGAAGGAUGGACUGUACAGCUGGAGCAGCAGCCUGAGCCUCACUGAGAGUGAGUGGAGCAGAGCAACAACCAUCAGCUGUGACGCCACGCACCCAUCCCAGAAUGCAGUGACCGAGAGCCUGAACACACAGCAGUGUGAUGACCAGUGAAACACACACACAUCACACAGAGAUUAUAGGCAUGAAUAAUUAUUCAUUCUUACACACACAGUGUACCAUUUUGCUCUGUAUGUUAAUCUUUCUUUAAUCCUGUUUUAACAUGUAACUUUUCAAUAAAUGUGUGUUUGUUACAUUUUUUUUUACCAAUUAAAAGCUUUUUGAAUCAUUAA